UACGUAGGGGGCAAGCGUUGUCCGGAUUUAUUGGGCGUAAAGCGCGUGUAGGUGUCCAUGUAGGUCCGCUGUGAAAACUCGAGGCUCAACCUCGAGCUGUCGGUGGAAACCACAUGGCUAGAGUCCGGAAGAGGAGAGUGGAAUUCCUGGUGUAGCGGUGAAAUGCGCAGAUAUCAGGAAGAACACCAAUGGCGAAGGCAGCUCUCUGGGACGGUACUGACACUGAGACGCGAAAGCGUGGGGAGCGAACAGG
rnacentral:rRNA from 1 species